rnacentral:rRNA from 1 species
ACGGGUGAGUAAUGCCUAGGAAAUUGCCCUGAUGUGGGGGAUAACCAUUGGAAACGAUGGCUAAUACCGCAUAAUGCCUUCGGGCCAAAGAGGGGGACCUUCGGGCCUCUCGCGUCAGGAUAUGCCUAGGUGGGAUUAGCUAGUUGGUGAGGUAAGGGCUCACCAAGGCGACGAUCCCUAGCUGGUCUGAGAGGAUGAUCAGCCACACUGGAACUGAGACACGGUCCAGACUCCUACGGGAGGCAGCAGUGGGGAAUAUUGCACAAUGGGCGCAAGCCUGAUGCAGCCAUGCCGCGUGUGUGAAGAAGGCCUUCGGGUUGUAAAGCACUUUCAGUCGUGAGGAAGGUGGUAGUGUUAAUAGCACUAUCAUUUGACGUUAGCGACAGAAAAACCACCGGGCUACUCCCUGCCAGCCGCCGCGGUAAUACCGAGGGUGCGACCGGUUAUCGGAAUUACUGGGCGUUACGCCCAUGCCGGUGGUGUGGUAAGUCCAAUUUGAA